CCUACGGGAGGCAGCAGUGAGGAAUAUUGGUCAAUGGACGGAAGGCUGAACCAGCCAUGCCGCGUGCAGGAUGACGGCCCUAUGAGUUGUAAACCGCUUUUGUACGGGAGCAAAGGUUGUUACGUGUAGGUAUUUGAAUGUAUCGUACGAAAAAGCAUCGGCUAACUCCGUGCCAGCAGCCGCGGUAAUACGGAGGAUUCGAGCGUUAUCCGGAUUUAUUGGGUUUAAAGGGUGCGGAGGCUGUCGGUUAAGUUAGCCGUCAAAUGGCGGGGCUUAACCCCGUGCCUGCCUCUGAUACUGUACGACUCGAGAGCGGAAGAAGCAGGCGGAAUGAGUAGUGUAGCGGUGAAAUGCAUAGAUAUUACUCAGAACGCCGAUUGCGCAGGCAGCAUGC
rnacentral:rRNA from 1 species